UGUGGCGUACAAAAAAUGAAAUGGAGCUAUCAUUCAGAAUGUGUAUGUAGGUCAGAACCUUGACGAUUAAACAACAUAGAACGAUUUGUGUCGAUAUUCUCGAAAAUCAGGAAAUGAGAAGGAUGCGAUUAGUUACAUAUUAUCGGGUGUUUUGAAAUGGAAUGUGGAACGAUUCGGAAGAGGAUAUCGUCACCAGAGACUUACAUCAAUUAAUAGUCGAUGAAGGAAGUGACGAAGGUAAGAGAUGUGGAAGAGAAACUUACAACCAAAGUCGAUGUCGAACUCAGAGACUUACAGUAGAUAAAUAGUUGAUGUCGGACUCAGAGACUGAAGAAACGAAAAAAUGGGGGUUGAAGACAGCAAGAUUGAAGAAAUCUUGUUUAUAAAGAUAUCAGCGAAAAGUGAAGAACUUCAAAAGAAUACCUCGAAAUCGAUUAAGAAUGGAAACACAAUCAGGUAUUUUUCAAUUUGCUAAAAGUUUUGAAUUUCGUAUUGUGUGAGUAUUAUUUUAAAAUUUUGAAAUUUGAAUUUGCUAAACAUUAGGCUUAAUUUUGUGCAAAAUUAUUCAUUGAUUUAUAUUAAUACGAGUAAAUAAAAAAAUACCUUGAAGUUUCAUUUUUUGUGAUAUUUCUUAAUAUUAUUUAAUUUAGAUUGUAUUUUAAAAUUUUAUUUGUACAUAAAUAAUUUCAUAUUAAAAAAAUUAAAAAAAAAAAACCACCGUGUGUUGAAAACAAUUUAUAUAUUUAGUAUUAUGCAUAAUUCUUGUAUUUGGAAACUAAAACUUAUUAAUUUGUUUAUUGUACCUUACAUUUUUCUUAUUUAGUCAAAACAAAAGAACAUAAAAAACUAAGUCUUAUGUUAUCAUAUUUGAUUCAAAAGUAGAUACAGAUAUCUGAAAAGUAAUUAUAUGCUCAAUAAAUUAAUUGUUUUAAUCCUGAAUAGGAAAAUUAUGAUCAGAUACCAGAAAGGGAGAUCCAAACAAUUGUCAACCAUCUUUUGUUUAACCUAUUAAACCCUAUUGAUGUGUUGAUUGAUAAAGAUUACAAACCAUUGAACUGAUGUUUCUCUUAGAUGGACUGUUUUGCCCUUUUGGUUUUGCUAUAAGUUGGAAUGUUUUCCCUUUUGUGUUGGGUGGCUUCAUUUAUGUUGUUUAGUAUUUCAAUUUGUUGUCUUUUUCUUGCUAGACCUUGGUAUACUUGGUUUCGGAUGCCUGCUGAUUCUUGCUUCCUUCAUAUGAGGUUUAUUGGCCUUUUUGCCCUUGUUGAUGCUCCUGCUGCAUACCCAAUAAAAGGAUGGACCGGAGUUGCUGCAUUAUCUCAUGUACAGUGUGAGGUACUAAUACAGCUUCCAAAGCUGCUUAACUUGAAGAACCUUGCCAAAACUGUGUUAUAGCUACCAAUAUAAACCCUACCCUUCAUGAAGUAAGAAAAAAUUGAAUGUGAGUAUAAUUAAGUUUAUCUUCUUAACAUAUGCUAAUUUUAUUUUGUCUAACUAUAGGCUUAUUAUAACUGGGCUAUGACCACAUGUGAUACAACAAAACUAUAUGGUGGCACAAAGGAAGUUGAGGAAAUAUAGAAAUUAGCAACAAAUAAUGCUUUUUUCUUCAAAAAAGUUUCACACAUUUUGGUUUUGCUUGUGUAAAAUACUAUCUUUUUGUUACGUCUA